UCUGCCACUCCCCUGCUCGUGCUCUGUCUCUCUUUCUGUCUCUCAAAAGUAAAUAAACACUGAAAAAAUAAAAAAAAAAGAAACACAACUGGUUUUUGUAUAUUGAUUUUGUAUCCUGUGAUGCAGAUUACUGCAUUUGCUUAUUCCAGCAGGUUUUUUGAUGGAGUAUUUAAGGUUUUCUGUAUAUAAUGUCAUGUCAUCUGCAUAUAGUGACAAUUUUACUUCUUCCUUUCCAAUUUGAAUGAACUCCCUCCCCCACUUUUGUUUUGCUUAAUUGCUUUGGUUAGGACGUACAAUAUUAUAUUGAAUAAAAGUGGCAAGAGUGGACUUCCUUAUCCUGUUCCUGAUCUUGGAGGAAAUGGUUUCAGUUUUUCACUGUUGAUUAUGAUGUUAGCUGUGAGCUUGUUAUAUGUUGAGACCUUGUCAUAUGUUGUCAUAGCUGUGGCCUUUAUUAUGUUAAGGUACAUCCCUCUAUACCCAGUUUGUUGAGAGUUUUUAUCAUGAAAGGAUGUUGAAUUUCAUCAAGUGCUUUUUCUAUAUCUAUUAAGAUGCAGAGAAAGCCCACUUAAAACUCCAGGACAGACCAGGCUUCAUGGAAGUGCCUUGAAUAGAAGAAAAGGAGCAUGGCACUUUUACUCAGAAGAACACCCAGGUUGUGUCAGACAAUUGGAACGGAUCUCUCCCUGGAGCUAGUUUAGAUACAGAGAUAAAAAAUAUUGGUACACUUUGA